rnacentral:rRNA from 1 species
UAAUACGAAGGGUGCAAGCGUUGCUCGGAAUUAUUGGGCGUAAAGGGUAGGUAGGUGGUUACGUAUGUCUGGGGUGAAAUCCCUGAGCUUAACUCAGGAAGUGCCUUGGAAACGGCGUAACUAGAGUGCUAGAGAGGUUCGUGGAAUUCCCAGUGUAGCGGUGAAAUGCGUAGAGAUUGGGAGGAACACCAGAGGCGAAGGCGGCGAACUGGAUAGCAACUGACACUGAACUACGAAAGCGUGGGUAGCAAACAGGAUUAGAUACCCUGGUAGUCCAUGCUGUAAACGAUGAGUACUAGGCUUCGUGGGAAUUGACCCCUGCGGAGCCGGAGCUAACGCAAUAAGUACUCCGCCUGGGAAGUACGGUCGCAAGACUAAAACUCAAAGGAAUUGACGGGAGCCCGCACAAGCGGUGGAUUAUGUGGUUUAAUUCGAAGCAACGCGCAGAACCUUACCAGGUUUGACAUCCUCUGACAGCUGUAGAGAUACAGUCUUCGUAGCAAUACGACAGAGA